GUUCUUUAGUGCUCUUGCAGGUUCCCCAAAAUACAAGACGUAAGAAAAUUAAUAUGUUAUUUUUAAUAAGAUGAAAACAUUUUCAAUUCCGAAGAUGUUGUAUGGUCCUUUAGCAUACUUGCCACAGAAUUGCAAUUUUUCAAAAAGACACUUUCUUAGUCAUUUGUCACCACCAGGAUUUCCAAUCCUGGUUUUGGAACAACCUGAACAGUACAGAAUUCUCUGAAAGAAAAAAAAUCUUUUUUUUAAUUGAAACAUACUACCAGAAGAGGAAUGAUCCUAAAAUUCUACAAACAGUAAAAUCUUGAAAAAAUUGGGGCUUCCCUGGUGGCGCAGUGGUUGAGAGUCCGCCUGCCGAUGCAGGGGACACGGGUUCGUGCCCUGGUCCGGGAAGAUCCCACAUGCCACGGAGCGGCUGGGCCCGUGAGCCAUGGCCGCUGAGCCUGCGCGUCCGGAGCCUGUGCUCCCCAACGGGAGCGGCCACAACAGUGAGAGGCCUGCAUACCCCCCCAAAAAAAAAAAAAAUCUUGAAAAAAUUGAAGUGUCAGUAUCCAGUAUUAGCUAAAUCACAAAUAUGCCAAUUUCUAAUGCACAUAGUUAAGACAAAGCUAAAAUGCCGCUCACAAGUUAAAGUGAUAUUCUGGGUAUGUGUGUGUAUUUGUUUUCUACUGGAAUCGAUAACAACUUCAUUCUUAUUUUAACGGAAGUCUGAAAGUCUUUAAGAGUGGUAGUUUAGAGAAUAAUAGAAAUAUCAUUUGGUCUGCGAGUGGCCACUGGGUUCUAGGCCUGGCUUGCAGCUCUCUGUGUAGCCUUGUCACAACAUGUAACUUUAUUUUGCCUUCAUUUUCUCAUUUGUAAAAUAAGAGAGUGGAUAAACGAGGUGAUUUUUUAGGCUCCCCUUCAGCUCUAAACUUCUGUGAUUCUCUAUAGCACAUGGUGUUUGCGUCCUGGACAUAUCUCCCACUAGAAGAGGCUUUCUAGAGAUUGUUUAACAAUAUCAAGAUAAAUUUUGCUGUUUAUGAUCUAGCCAGGAGCAAGGAGAUUCUCUCUCUCUCUCUCUCUCUCUCUCUCUCCCUCUCACCUGCUUUCUUUCAUACUCACACAAACACACACACAACACCCCCUGCUAGUUCUAUCAAGUCAAUAGCAGUUUACAGACAACCAUGUAACAGAAGUUAAAUGUUAUAAACGAAAGUGGAUUUUAAAGCUAAUUAUCACUGGAUUUUAAUUAAUGUAAAUCAAACAGGUAUGCUUUCAAAAUGCAGACUAAUAUGUAAUCACUCUUUGCUGUUUUAAUCUAACUCUAAUUAGCUUGGAAAUGACAUAUGCUAUGAAAUACUAAUUUAAGAUAACCAUUAAGGCAAAGAACAUUCCGUACAUUUCUAACUUCAGUAAAACUUUUAGUAGUUUCAGUAAGUGAUAACUUAAUGGAAUUCUACAAAUAGAUCUGAAUUAUAUCUUUUAUAUAUUUCAACAACAGGGACGCAGGCUCAGUCAACCUUAUACUUAACUUAUUGUUUAAAGCUUAUAAUCAAGCCAAGCAUUGGUUAUCCUAUUUAACAGGAAUAUAAAUGACUUCUAUUUAUAAAGUUAAAAUUCUUCUUUUCUGUUGUGAACACUAGUCACUGACUGUAUCUCUAAGUAUUGUUAUAUUGAGGAUGUUGUAUGUCUACUUAAGAUUUUAGAGCAUAUUUGUAUAAAAACAUGUCCAUUUCAAAUCACAUGAAAUUAUAACUAUAUUUCAAUUAGCACUGAUAAUUAGCAUAAUGGCAAUUUAUACUCCUAGAAACAAUUCACUACAAAGCAGUUUUAGCUGUAUUAUGUUACAUAUACAUAAUACUUUUAGAAUUUUUCUUAAGAUGUUUGGAAAACCUAAGGAUGGGAUUAACUACUUAGGUGACUUUAUGUUUGAAUAUAUAACUUAACCUGAAUAUGUUCUUUAGCUUAUUUUAAUAAAAGUUAGAACU
rnacentral:lncRNA from 1 species